rnacentral:rRNA from 1 species
ACGGGGUGCAGCAGGCGCGAAACCUCCGCAAUACACGAAAGUGUGACGGGGUUACCCAAAGUGUUCAAUAGAACUGUGGUAGGUGAGUAAUGUCCCCUACUAGAAAGGAGAGGGCAAGGCUGGUGCCAGCCGCCGCGGUAAAACCAGCUCUUCAAGUGGUCGGGAUAAUUAUUGGGCUUAAAGUGUCCGUAGCCGGUUUAGUAAGUUCCUGGUAAAAUCGGGUAGCUUAACUAUCUAUAUGCUAGGAAUACUACUAUACUAGAGGGCGGGAGAGGUCUGAGGUACUACAGGGGUAGGGGUGAAAUCUUAUAAUCCUUGUAGGACCACCAGUGGCGAAGGCGUCAGACUGGAACGCGCCUGACGGUGAGGGACGAAAGCCAGGGGAGCGAACCGGAUUAGAUACCCGGGUAGUCCUGGCCGUAAACGAUGCAUACUAGGUGAUGGCACGGCCAUGAGCCGUGUCAGUGCCGUAGGGAAACCGUUAAGUGUGCCGCCUGGGAAGUACGGUCGCAAGGCUAAAACUUAAAGGAAUUGGCGGGGGAGCACCACAAGGGGUGAAGCCUGCGGUUCA